UGGCAGCUAGCUUGCUUGGUAGCGGUUUGGUGGCGGCAGUCACUUAAAAUACAAUGUCUGACGUCGCAUUUGCUUUAGUCCUUAAAUAAGAAGCAACAAGUUAACAUCAGCUCCAAUUCAUUUGACUUGCGAGAGAUACAAACUACAAUACAGCAACAAGUUUCUUGUUUCUUGUUUCUUAGAUAACCAAACGCAGUUAAAAAGUAUUGAAAAAAUAAAUAAAUUAAAUAAAGACAAAGCAAAGCAAAACGAAAAGUGUCGGUGUGCAAUACAGGAAAGAAAAAUAAAUAAAUCAAUGAAUGAAUGAAUGCAUGGAAAAAAAGAAAUAACAGAUCGCGCAGCAUUCCUCGUCGCGCCAACAAAAGCAACAGCAACAACAAUUAUAACGAUCAACCGAUCUGAGUGUUGCUCUCGAUUAAACAAAUAUUGAUGAACUGAUUUGUGGCAAAAGUUACUUAAAAAAAAAAAAAAUACACUAAGUUCUUCUAUACACCCUAUAUCAAUAUUUGCACAAAAGCAAAUAAACAGAAAGAAAGAUAAAUUGCAAAAAGAUUUGAAUAGCCCCAUUGCGCUAAGCAAAAGGAAAAUCUAUCUCGUCGAGUUAAGAAAAGUGAAUGAAAGCAAAGGGCUUGUUGUGUACUUAAACGAGCACUAAAAGCAACAUAAAUUUGCUGAGAAAA